GUAGUACUCCCUCCAUUCGGAAUUACUUGUCACAAAAAUGGAUGUAUCUACAACUAAAAUACAUCUAGAUGCAUUCAUUUCUUGGACGAGUAAUUCCGAACGGAGGGAGUAUGUA
rnacentral:pre_miRNA from 1 species